rnacentral:rRNA from 1 species
UGGGGAAUAUUGGACAAUGGACCAAAAGUCUGAUCCAGCGAUUCUGUGUGCACGAUGACGUUUUUCGGAAUGUAAAGUGCUUUCAGUUGGGAAGAAAAAAAUGACGGUACCAACAGAAGAAGUGACGGCUAAAUACGUGCCAGCAGCCGCGGUAAUACGUAUGUCACAAGCGUUAUCCGGAUUUAUUGGGCGUAAAGCGCGUCUAGGUGGUUAUGUAAGUCUGAUGUGAAAAUGCAGGGCUCAACUCUGUAUUGCGUUGGAAACUGCAUGACUAGAGUACUGGAGAGGUAAGCGGAACUACAAGUGUAGAGGUGAAAUUCGUAGAUAUUUGUAGGAAUGCCGAUGGGGAAGCCAGCUUACUGGACAGAUACUGACGCUAAAGCGCGAAAGCGUGGGUAGCAAACAGGAUUAGAUACCCUGGUAGUCCACGCCGUAACGAUGAUUACUAGGUGUUGGGGGUCGAACCUCAGCGCCCAAGCUAACGCGAUAAGUAGUCCGCCUGGGGAGUACGUACGCAAGUAUG